GACGAACGCUGGCGGCGUGCUUAACACAUGCAAGUCGAGCGGUAAGGCCCUUUCGGGGGUACGACGAGCGGCGAACGGGUGAGUAACACGUGGGUGACCUGCCCUUACGCUCUGGGAGUAAGCCUGGGAAACGUGGGUCUAAUACCGGAUAUGACUCCAUGACGCAUGUUGUGGGGUGGAAAGCCUUGUGCGGCUAGGGA
rnacentral:rRNA from 1 species